GUUCCUAUAGUUGAGAAUCAACGAUGGUUUUUCAGACCAUAGGCCCUGACUUAAGUUGGGUGGGAAUGU
rnacentral:tRNA from 1 species